rnacentral:rRNA from 1 species
AACGAACGCUGGCGGCAUGCCUAACACAUGCAAGUCGAACGAGAUCUUCGGGUCUAGUGGCGCACGGGUGCGUAACGCGUGGGAAUCUGCCCUUUGGUUCGGAAUAACAGUUGGAAACGACUGCUAAUACCGGAUGAUGACAAAAGUCCAAAGAUUUAUCGCCAGAGGAUGAGCCCGCGUAGGAUUAGCUAGUUGGUGUGGUAAAGGCGCACAAAGGCGACGAUCCUUAGCGGGUCUGAGAGGAUGAUCAGCCACACUGGGACUGAGACACGGCCCAGAUUCCUAGGGGAGGCAGCAGUGGGGAAUAUUGGACAAUGGGCGAAAGCCUGAUCCAGCAAUGCCGCGUGAGUGAUGAAGGCCUUAGGGUUGUAAAGCUCUUUUACCCGGGAUGAUAAUGACAGUACCGGGAGAAUAAGCUCCGGCUAACUCCGUGCCAGCCGCCGCGGUAA